AUAUGAAUUACUUAGGGAUUUUGUUAAAAUGAGUUUUCUGAUUCAGUAGUCUGAAUAAUGCCUGAAGUUAUGAAGUUUUCACAAGCUCCUAGGUGCUGCUACU
rnacentral:pre_miRNA from 1 species